rnacentral:rRNA from 1 species
GACGAACGCUGGCGGCGUGCCUAAUACAUGCAAGUAGAACGCUGAAGCGAGGAGCUUGCUCUUCUUGGAUGAGUUGCGAACGGGUGAGUAACGCGUAGGUAACCUGCCUUGUAGCGGGGGAUAACUAUUGGAAACGAUAGCUAAUACCGCAUAACAAUGGAUACCACAUGUCAUUUAUUUGAAAGGGGCAAUUGCUCCACUACAAGAUGGACCUGCGUUGUAUUAGCUAGUAGGUGAGGUAACGGCUCACCUAGGCGACGAUACAUAGCCGGCCUGAGAGGGUGGUCGGCCACACUGGGACUGAGACACGGCCCAGACUCCCACGGGAGGCAGCAGUAGGGAAUCUUCGGCAAUGGGGGCAAACCUGACCGAGCAACGCCGCGUGAGUGAAGAAGGGUUUCGGAUCGUAAAGCUCUGUUGUAAGUCAAGAACGAGUGUGAGAGUGGAAAGUUCACACUGUGACGGUAGCUUACCAGAAAGGGACGGCUAACUACGUG